rnacentral:rRNA from 1 species
ACGGCCAUACCGCAUUGAAAACACCGGUUCUCGUCCGAUCACUGAAGUUAAGCAAUGUCGGGCCUGGUCAGUACUUGGGAGGGUGACCACCUGGGAACACCGGGUGCUGUAGGCU